UUGGAGGGCAAGUCUGGUGCCAGCAGCCGCGGUAAUUCCAGCUCCAAUAGCGUAUAUUAAAGUUGUUGCAGUUAAAAAGCUCGUAGUUGAAUUUCGGGGUUCUACCGUUGGUCGGGCAAUAGUCUGUACUGGCGUGUAGAAUUUCUACCUUCUGGGGAACUAUCAUGUUAUUUAUUUAGCGUGGUAGGAAACCAGGACCUUUACCUUGAAAAAAUUAGAGUGUUCAAGGCAGGCUUACGUCUGAAUACACUAGCAUGGAAUAAUAAAAUAGGACGGUGGUCCUGUUUUGUUGGUUUCUGAAUCACCGUAAUGAUUAAUAGGGAUAGUUGGGGGCAUUAGUAUUCAAUUGUCAGAGGUGAAAUUCUUGGAUUUAUUGAAGACUAACUCCUGCGAAAGCAUUUGCCAAGGAUGUUUUCAUUAAUCAAGAACGAAAGUUAGGGGAUCGAAGACGAUCAGAUACCGUCGUAGUCUUAACCAUAAACUAUGCCGACUAGGGAUCGGACGAUGUUAAUUUUUCUUGACUCGUUCGGCACCUUACGGGAAAC
rnacentral:rRNA from 1 species